UAAUAUUAAAUAAUUUUUUAGUUUUCAACUGAACGACUAAAAAAAGAAAAAUUAAAAACUAGGUAAUUGUUAAAAGAUGAGUUUGUGGAAGAUUAGGUUGUUGGUAGAAAUAAUAGUUUACCAAGCCUUUGAUCUUUAGUUGGUCUUAGAGGACGUACAACCACACUGGAACUGAGACAAGGUCCAGGCUAAUUUUUUGGCCAGCAGUGAGGAAUAUUGGACAAUGAACGAAAGUUUGAUCCAGCAAUAUUAUGUGAAUGAUUGACGACUAAUUUUUGGUUGUAAAAUUCUUUCGUUAA
rnacentral:rRNA from 1 species